rnacentral:rRNA from 1 species
GAUGAACGCUAGCUACAGGCUUAACACAUGCAAGUCGAGGGGAAACGACAUCGAAAGCUUGCUUUUGAUGGGCGUCGACCGGCGCACGGGUGAGUAACGCGUAUCCAACCUGCCCAUCACUUGGGAAUAACCUUGCGAAAGUAAGACUAAUACCCAAUGACAUCCCACGAAGACAUCUGAAUGGGAUUAAAGAUUUAUCGGUGAUGGAUGGGGAUGCGUCUGAUUAGCUUGUUGGCGGGGUAACGGCCCACCAAGGCAACGAUCAGUAGGGGUUCUGAGAGGAAGGUCCCCCACAUUGGAACUGAGGCACGGUCCAAACUCCUACGGGAGGCAGCAGUGAGGAAGAUUGGGCAAUGGGCGAGAGCCUGAACCAGCCAAGUAGCGUGCAGGAUGACGGCCCUAUGGGUUGUAAACUGCUUUUAGAAGGGAAUAAAGUGGGUCUCGUGAGACUUUUUGCAUGUACCUUAUGAAUAAGGACCGGCUAAUUCCGUG